CUACACUGCGUCCAUUUACGAAUAUCUGACCCUUACUCAUGGUGUACAUAUCUAAACCUAACGGAUCGUUUCCUGGUGGCGCCUCAAAGUAAUCUGUUUUAUCUCCUGUAACAAACUUCUGCUCCCAAAGGCCAUCUUUGGUAAAUGUACCAGGUGCAAAACCAGUGGGAAUUUCAUCAAUGUGUGACUGCCAAGAAAAUUUAGUUCCAGUAGGCAUCAUCCACAUCUGUGUGCUUUGGGCACUCAUCUGUACAAAAAUCAGCAGAAAGUAUUAAAAAUUAUAUUCUAUUAAAUAGUAUGAAGAACUUAAAUAUUGAGAGGAAGCAAAAGGGUAUUUCUUACCUUUGCAGUGUUAAAAACUACAGUCUUGCAAUCAGGGAGAAUACUGAUAGACCAACGCGGUAGCCAAUAUGGUUUAGUCCAGAAGUUAACGUUUGCACCAUAUUGGGAGUCGUAGUUUGCCAAGAAUGCUGCACAUCCUGCCUUUGAUUGGAACACAUGAGCCUGAAAACAAUUACACAGAUUAGAAAGAAAACCAAAGUAAGAAAUUCUAUCUACAUCUUGCUAUUUUUGGAUUUGGUUUUACCUCUUGGUUUUUACCAAGUGAUAUAAUUUGAGGAUCUACUGAUACUAGAGCAGCCUGACUCUGCUUGAGCACUCUGUGAAGGUCUCUCAAAUGUCCCCACUUUGGAUCAUGUGGUAAUCCUGGUUCAGAAAUAAAUAUGUAAUUUUACUAUAUCAGCUUUGAAACUUUUGGUUUGGCAAUUAGUGAUGUGUUGUUUAUACAGAUAUGUUAUGCUUGAAUUAAGUGUAUUUGGAGUUUUUAAUAAUGUUGUAUGAAAGUGUUUUGAUUUUGUAGGAUAUGCAUGUUUGGAUAGAACAAAAACUAAGAAGGCGAAAACACGAAGAAUAUACAAAAAAGAAGAAAAUUUCCUGCUUGCUCGAGCAAAGCAUUACCGUAUUCAUCUAGAGGUAUCAAUCUGCACAUCAUCAGAUAGAAGAAACAAGAAACAUGAGCAAUGUUUUACUGCAACUUCUCGAGUUUUAUAUUUUGGCUUUUUUCAUUUCUGAGAAUGCUUCUAUAAUUUCAAAAUUCUAUAUCUAUAAAGAUAUUCUUAUGAAAA